GUAGGUGGCAAGCGUUGUCCGGAAUUAUUGGGCGUAAAGCGCGCGCAGGCGGUUCUUUAAGUCUGAUGUGAAAGCCCACGGCUCAACCGUGGAGGGUCAUUGGAAACUGGAGAACUUGAGUACAGAAGAGGAAAGCGGAAUUCCACGUGUAGCGGUGAAAUGCGUAGAGAUGUGGUGGAACACCAGUGGCGAAGGCGGCUUUCUGGUCUGUAACUGACGCUGAGGCGCGAAAGCGUGGGGAGCAAACAGGAUUAGAUACCCUGGUAGUCCACGCCGUAAACGAUGAGUGCUAAGUGUUAGGGGGUUUCCGCCCCCCUUAGUGCUGCAGCUAACGCAUUAAGCACUCCGCCUGGGAGUACGGCCGCAAGGCUG
rnacentral:rRNA from 1 species